rnacentral:rRNA from 1 species
CCCUCGUUCUUAGUUGCCAUCAUUCAGUUGGGGACUCUAGGGAGACUGCCGGUGAUAAACCGGAGGAAGGUGGGGAUGACGUCAAGUCAUCAUGCCCCUUACGUCCUGGGCUACACACGUACUACAAUGGGUGGGACAAAGGGCAGCGAACUCGCAAGAGCCAGCUAAUCCCAUAAACCCAUCCUCAGUUCAGAUUGCUCUCUGCAACUCGAGAGCAUGAAGGAGGAAUCGCUAGUAAUCGCAGGUCAGCAUACUGCGGUGAAUACGUUCCCGGGCCUUGU